rnacentral:rRNA from 1 species
UACGAAGGGGGCUAGCGUUGCUCGGAAUCACUGGGCGUAAAGCGCACGUAGGCGGCUUUCUAAGUCAGGGGUGAAAUCCUGGAGCUCAACUCCAGAACUGCCUUUGAUACUGGAGAGCUUGAGUCCGGAAGAGGUGAGUGGAACUCCGAGUGUAGAGGUGAAAUUCGUAGAUAUUCGGAAGAAACACCAGUGGCGAAGGCGGCUCACUGGUCCGGUACUGACGCUGAGGUGCGAAAGCGUGGGGAGCAAACGGG